rnacentral:rRNA from 1 species
UGCAAGUCGUACGCACAGCAAUGUGAGUGGCGCAAGGGUGAGUAAUGCGAAGGUAACCAACCCUGGAGUUGGGCAUAGCCGCGGGAAACUGCGGGUAAUUCCCAGCGAUGUUACGAGGUGGCAUCAUCUUGUAACCAAAGGUGUGAUUCCGCUCUAGGACGGGCCUUCGUGGUAUUAGCUAGUUGGUGGGGUAACGGCCUACCAAGGCAACGAUGCCUACCGGGUGUGAGAGCAUGACCCGGCACACUGGAACUGAGACACUGUCCAGACACCUACGGGUGGCUGCAGUCGAGAAUCUUCGGCAAUGGGCGAAAGCCUGACCGAGCGACGCCGCGUGAGGGAUUGAAGGCCUUCGGGUUGUAAACCUCUUUCGUAGAGGAGGAAGGGACUGUGAAGAGCAGUUCUUGACCUAUUCUAGGAAGAAGCUUGGGCUAAGUUCGUGCCAGCAGCCGCGGUAAGACGAACCAAGCGAACGUUAUUCGGAAUUACUGGGCUUAAAGCGCGUGUAGGCGGACUGCCACGUCGGUUGUUGAAAUCCCCCGGCUUAACCGGGGAACAGGCACCGAUACGAGUAGUCUUGAGGUGGGUAGGGGAGACUGGAACUUCCGGUGGAGCGGUGAAAUGCGUUGAGAUCGGAAGGAACGCCCGCGGCGAAAGCGAGUCUCUGGCCCCAUACUGACGCUGAGACGCGAAAGCCAGG